UACGGGAGGCAGCAGUGGGGAAUAUUGGGCAAUGGGCGCAAGCCUGACCCAGCGACGCCGCGUGGGCGAUGAAGGCCUUCGGGUUGUAAAGCCCUGUCAUGCGGAAAGAACGACCCUGUGACGCAUACUCACAGGGAGUGACGGUACCGCAGGAGGAAGCACCGGCUAACUCCGUGCCAGCAGCCGCGGUAAUACGGAGGGUGCAAGCGUUGUUCGGAAUUAUUGGGCGUAAAGGGCGCGUAGGCGGUAAUGUAAGUCAGAUGUGAAAUACUCCGGCUCAACCAGAGAAUUGCAUCUGAAACUGCAUAACUAGAGUACAGAAGAGGGAAACGGAAUUCCCGGUGUAGAGGUGAAAUUCGUAGAUAUCGGGAGGAACACCAGUGGCGAAGGCGGUUUCCUGGUCUGAUACUGACGCUGAGGCGCGAAAGCGUGGGGAGCAAACAGGAUUAGAUACCCUGGUAGUCCACGCUGUAAACGGUGAACACUAGGUGUGGGAGGUGUAAUACCUUCCGUGCCGUAGCUAACGCG
rnacentral:rRNA from 1 species